GAUGAACGGUAGCUACAGGCUUAACACAUGCAAGUCGAGGGGCAGCACAGUGUAGCAAUACACGGGUGGCGACCGGCGCACGGGUGCGUAACACGUAUCCAAUCUGCCCGUUACUCGGGGAUAGCCUUCUGAAAGGAAGAUUAACACCCGAUAGCAUUCAUUUGCGGCAUCGCUUAUGAAUUAAAGAUUUAUCGGUAACGGAUGAGGAUGCGUACGAUUAGCUUGUUGGCGGGGUAACGGCCCACCAAGGCUACGAUCGUUAGGGGUUCUGAGAGGAAGGUCCCCCACACUGGAACUGAGACACGGUCCAGACUCCUACGGGAGGCAGCAGUGAGGAAUAUUGGUCAAUGGUCGAGAGACUGAACCAGCCAAGUAGCGUGAAGGAUGACUGCCCUAUGGGUUGUAAACUUCUUUUGUCGUGGAACAAAACCUGCCACGUGUGGCAGUUUGCGUGUACACGUUGAAUAAGCAUCGGCUAACUCCGUGCCAGCAGCCGCCGCCGUAA
rnacentral:rRNA from 1 species